rnacentral:misc_RNA from 1 species
UACGGAGGAUCCAAGCGUUAUCCGGAAUCAUUGGGUUUAAAGGGUCCGUAGGCGGAUCAGUAAGUCAGUGGUGAAAGUCUGCAGCUCAACUGUAGAAUUGCCAUUGAUACUGCUGUUCUUGAGUCAUUAUGAAGUGGUUAGAAUGAGUAGUGUAGCGGUGAAAUGCAUAGAUAUUACUCAGAAUACCGAUUGCGAAGGCAGAUCACUAAUAAUGUACUGACGCUGAUGGACGAAAGCGUGGGGAGCGAACAGG